rnacentral:rRNA from 1 species
GGUGAACGCUGGCGGCGUGCUUAAGACAUGCAAGUCGAACGCAGUCUUCGGACUGAGUGGCGCACGGGUGAGUAACACGUAACUGACCUACCCCCAAGUCGCGGAUAACUGGCCGAAAGGUCAGCUAAUACGUGAUGUGAUGUCCCCUUUCUGGGGGGCCAUUAAAGGUUUACUGCUUGGGGAUGGGGUUGCGAUUCCAUCAGCUAGUUGGCGGGGUAAAGGCCCACCAAGGCAACGACGGAUAGCCGGCCUGAGAGGGUGGCCGGCCACAGGGGGACUGGGACACGGGUCCCACUCCUACGGGAGGCAGCAGUUAGGGAUCUUCUACAAUGGGCGAAAGCCUGAUGGAGCGACGCCGCGUGAGGGAUGAAGGUUCUCGGAUCGUAAACCUCUGAAUCAGGGACGAAAGACGCGUAAGCGGGAUGACGGUACCUGAGUAAUAGCACCGGCUAACUCCGUGCCAGCCGCCGCCGUAA